rnacentral:tRNA from 1 species
GAAUUGAAAGCUAUUCAGCAUCGGUCUUGUAAGCCGAAGAUAGGGAAAAUUCUCUCAAUUCU